rnacentral:rRNA from 1 species
CCCUUAGAUGUUCUGGGCCGCACGCGCGCUACAAUGGCAGACUCAGCGAGUUACCUCUGUCGAAAGGCACAGGGAAUCUUUACAGUAUCUGCCGUGAUGGGGAUAGACCCUUGUAAUUUUUGGUCUUCAACGAGGAAUUCCUAGUAAACACAAGUCAUUAACUUGCAUUGAUUACGUCCCUGCCCUUUGUACACACCGCCCGUCGCACCUACCGAUUGAAUGGUCCGGUGAAGUCCUCGGACCCAGUUGAACCUCGAGUUGAACAGGGAAAGUUGACUAAAUCUUACCAUUUAGAGGAAGGUGAAGUCGUAACA